AUAACACAACACUAAAAAAAAAAUACAAGGACAAUUCACGUUGGGGCAAAGAUGUGACUUCACGGAAGGGAGUAAAAAGGAAAAAGUGAAGAUUGCGAGAAGAGGACAGUUGUCAAAAACGGAUUUUGGUACUGAUGAAAGUUUGUCCAUGUCGUGGUCUUUUUAAAAGAUCCAUGUUCUUGCUUUCGAUAAACACUAAAGAAUCUCCGGGAGGUUUGUUUUUCUGUAUCUACAGGACCCGCUUGCUGUUAGUUGUAUCCGACCAAUCGGUCUCCGUUUUCGGCUACACGAUCAUCCAAGCCGUCGUAAAGGGAUACUCCUUUGCUCAUCGCAGUCGCUAUCGAAUAGAGACCCUACAAGAUGUUAAUCGUGGAGAAAAUCAAGAGAUCGCCUCUCCUUUAUGAAAAAAUCGAAGGAGGUGAAUUGAGUGAACUGGGUUUCCGGAUCUAAUGAUAAGGAUGCUAGCAGGACUGUUAGGCUACCGCAACAGCACUGGAUCCCCUUAGCCUGUCCUUGGAUUGUUAUGUCUAGGUCUCAUUUGGUCUUCGGCUCGGCGAAAGGUGGUCAACAGAAGCGAUGUAUUUCCACCGUGAUCUGUGGUUGCUAGCCCUCCGGGGAAACGAAACUGCGAGCACCAAGUGACGAAGCAGUGGGCUGGGAGUAUGGAUACGAACGGUACUGUCAAGAAGGGACUUAAGGAAAUAAACGGAAAAUAUAAUACUUUAUGCCUCCUGCUUAAUAAGGAAAGCUAAAGAUUCGGACGGUGUUCUAUACUAUUGUUUACGUUUAAGGAACCGGCUAUAUUUCAUAAGAACCGCGAAGAGGACUGUUUAACUAUUGAUUUCAACAGCUCGCAAGUUUUCCAAGGAUAUUUAAAAAACUGAACGGUACUUGACUAUUGCUAAUAUACUGUGAUUUUUUCUUCUUUGUUUCUUACUUGUUUUCUUUGAAAUGUUUUUAAAGAUGAAUAUGAAAAAGAUGGAUUUAUAUGAGUGAUA